CUGUCAAGAUUUGCUCCGAUGGAAUAUGGGUAUAAAUGUCCCUCCGACCUGAGACCACCACGGUGACUUGCAAGCAACUCACUGCACUUAGGCACUGGACUACCUGAAUUUCUAAUUCAGUGACGGAAGGCUGCUAGGUGUAGUCAAGUACUUGACUUAUCGGUGCGUGUGUCAAGAUGGGAUUGACCACUCCAGUUUAGGAGCUGUGUACAGUCGU
rnacentral:lncRNA from 1 species